AUCUUCGGAUCUAGUGGCGCACGGGUGCGUAACGCGUGGGAAUCUGCCCUUGGGUUCGGAAUAACAGUGAGAAAUUACUGCUAAUACCGGAUGAUGUCUUCGGACCAAAGAUUUAUCGCCCAGGGAUGAGCCCGCGUAGGAUUAGGUAGUUGGUGGGGUAAUGGCCUACCAAGCCGACGAUCCUUAGCUGGUCUGAGAGGAUGAUCAGCCACACUGGGACUGAGACACGGCCCAGACUCCUACGGGAGGCAGCAGUGGGGAAUAUUGGACAAUGGGCGAAAGCCUGAUCCAGCAAUGCCGCGUGAGUGAUGAAGGCCUUAGGGUUGUAAAGCUCUUUUACCAGGGAUGAUAAUGACAGUACCUGGAGAAUAAGCUCCGGCUAACUCCGUGCCAGCAGCCGCGGUAAUACGGAGGGAGCUAGCGUUGUUCGGAAUUACUGGGCGUAAAGCGCGCGUAGGCGGUUACUCAAGUCAGAGGUGAAAGCCCGGGGCUCAACCCCGGAACUGCCUUUGAAACUAGGUGACUAGAAUCUUGGAGAGGUCAGUGGAAUUCCGAGUGUAGAGGUGAAAU
rnacentral:rRNA from 1 species